rnacentral:rRNA from 1 species
CUUGGUCAUUUAGAGGAAGUAAAAGUCGUAACAAGGUUUCCGUAGGUGAACCUGCGGAAGGAUCAUUAUUGAAAUUAUAGGCAAAGGUUGUAGCUGGCCUCUCGGGGCAUGUGCACGCCUGAGCCCCUUAAUCCACACACACCUGUGAACCAAUUGUAAGGGCCCCCUGAAAAGGGCCUUUACGUCUUAUUCAUCAGCCCAUUGCAUGUCUCAGAAUGUAAACAUAUGUCCUCGCCUUAAAAAGCGUUGAUAAACUUAUACAACUUUCAACAACGGAUCUCUUGGCUCUCGCAUCGAUGAAGAACGCAGCGAAAUGCGAUAAGUAAUGUGAAUUGCAGAUUUUCAGUGAAUCAUCGAAUCUUUGAACGCACCUUGCGCUCCUUGGUAUUCCGAGGAGCAUGCCUGUUUGAGUGUCAUUAAAUUCUCAACUCCGAUCGAUUUGUUUCGACCUCGGAGCUUGGACUUUGGAGUGUGCUGGCGUCGGUCGGCUCCUCUCAAAUGCAUCAGCGGAAUCUAACGUUUCGGACGUCAGUGUGAUAAUCACGUUGCGCUGUCAACCGAUCCUGAAAGGCCCGCUCAUAAUGGUCUUCGGACAACUUCAUAUCAAAUUUGACCUCAAAUCAGGUAGGACUACCCGCUGAACUUAAGCAUAUCAAUAAGCGGANGA